ACUUAAAUAGCUUAAUAAAAGAGUAUUUUAUUGAAGAUAAAAAGGUAAUUUAAAUUUUUAAGUA
rnacentral:tRNA from 1 species